rnacentral:rRNA from 1 species
AACGAACGCUGGCGGCAUGCCUAACACAUGCAAGUCGAACGAAGUCUUCGGACUUAGUGGCGCACGGGUGCGUAACGCGUGGGAAUCUGCCCUUGGGUGCGGAAUAACUUCUCGAAAGGGAUGCUAAUACCGCAUAAUGUCGUAAGACCAAAGAUUUAUCGCCCAAGGAUGAGCCCGCGUAAGAUUAGCUAGUUGGUGGGGUAAAAGCCUACCAAGGCGACGAUCUUUAGCUGGUCUGAGAGGAUGAUCAGCCACACUGGGACUGAGACACGGCCCAGACUCCUACGGGAGGCAACAGUGGGGAAUAUUGGACAAUGGGCGAAAGCCUGAUCCAGCAAUGCCGCGUGAGUGAUGAAGGCCCUAGGGUUGUAAAGCUCUUUUACCAGGGAUGAUAAUGACAGUACCUGGUAGAAUAAGCUCCGGCUAACUCCGUGCCAGCAGCCGCGGUAAU